rnacentral:tRNA from 2 species
GGAGAGGUGUCCGAGUGGUCGAAGGUGAUUGACUCGAAAUCAAUUGUGGGGCAACCCACCGGGGGUUCGAAUCCCUCCCUCUCCGCCA